GUCCACGCCGUAAACGAUGAAUACUAGGUGUCGGGGUCGAACCUCGGUGCCGCAGUUAACACAAUAAGUAUUCCGCCUGGGGAGUACGAUCGCAAGAUUAAAACUCAAAGGAAUUGACGGGGGCCCGCACAAGCAGCGGAGCAUGUGGUUUAAUUCGAAGCAACGCGAAGAACCUUACCUAGACUUGACAUCCCCUGCAUAAUCCAGAGAUGGGCAAAGUCCUUCGGACAGGUGACAGGUGGUGCAUGGUUGUCGU
rnacentral:rRNA from 1 species